UCUAUCGACGAACGCGAUGCGCAUCAAUCGGAAUCGCGAAACAAUACGAACGGAGAAAAGCUACGAUUUUGAAAUGAGGCGAUGAAGAGAUAAUGAUAAGCACGAUAUGACAGAACACUCCGUAACGAUCCUUUCGUAUACUUUUUAUAAGCUGAACGCCAGAGAAUGUCCAAAAUAUGAUCGUGUGUUUAACUUUUUAUUUAUUAGGACGUAAUCGUUAGGAAAAUAUGAAUUGCAACGACGACAUUAUUUUGUCGUGCGUGUAAAAAUAACAUUGUCCGCUUUUGUCAUUUUCCCCGGGAAGAUGGUAACUUAGGAAUUGGAAAAUAAAUUACAUCAGGAAGAUAUUAUCGAAUGCUUCAGUGCAUGAGUGAAAGUUCUAAAAGUGGCCACUAUAUCGUCGUCUAUGAGAGUAUGCUCGUUACACUUUACAGAAGAAAAUUAUAAUGCCAGGGGCGAACUGCACAUCGCAAAGUUUGAAAAAGUUUCAAUGGGCUUGUAAAGAUUUGACGUUCUACGUAUGAUUAAUGACGUUAAUUAAUGAAAUAAAAACAGAGGGCCGGUAAUCAUGCCGGUAAUCUGCUGAUAAACAUUUCCCGGUCCGCCCUCGUUUUAUCCUAUUAAAUAAAUAUUAUUGUAAUCAUAGAUAAAUAUUAAUUGUACAUAAAAUUUAUGAUUUUUAGGAAAUCGUACCGGAAAUUUAUCUGCAUCCUCUCUUCUAGAUUAUAGAAGUAUAGUCGCGCGUGCCGUUUAAAGUUUAAAGAAUACAGCGAUUCUAAUAAUCAACCCCCCAAGCUAUUCAAUUGAUACAGAGCCUAGUACAUUAAUAGCUGUUCAAGCUACUGAAUAAGGGAAAAGAUACUGAAUAUCUCUCAAAAAUUCUCAAAGCACAUAACUCUCGGAAACAUUUGAUGAGUUCCAGCUUCCUGAUGACUUUUGGCACUUGGCAGACUGAAGAGUUCGUCUUUGAAUUAAACAAAGACCAGAAACAACGGCUUAAACAAUUCAUCGGCAUAUGAGAUCAAGACCGGCGAGUUUAGCUAACAAAUCACACU